GGUUUGGAGUUAAACAGUGGUACAUCGCGAGUAUAAAACCUAAUAGGUUUGGAAUCAAAUACUGAGAUAUAAUAUUUAAAUACUUAUGCGUGUGAUAGACUUAGGAAGGUCUUAAUUUUCAGUAACUUUUAUGGUCCCUUAUAAAUCUAACUGAAGUAUAUUUAUAGCAACAGAACGAAUAUUGCGACGGAAAAGUAAUCGCAUAUUACUAAGAAUAAAGUAAAAUGUUAACAUUUAUUUUCCCAAACGCCUGGUGAUAUGAAUUCCCCUACCCUGGUAAAUGAGGCUGGUAAAAGUUCAUCAACAUUAGAUUUCAAAUAUGAUGAUUGUAAAGUUUUAUGAAAAAAUUCCAUUUGGUGUGGAAUUGUAUUCAACUUAUCGCUAAGCACGAUAGUGCUCAGUAUUUCGGGAUAGGCCGAGAAAAAAUAAUGGCUGCCGCAUACACUCUAUUACUUUUUUCAUCUAUGAUGCUUACAAAUAACUGCUAAAGUUGAGUUACAGCCAUAUUUGAGUAAGUAAUUGCCAUUGUCGAGUGUUUCAAACAUGUGAGACUCCCAGUAUCAUUGAAAAGUGGAGAAUUGGGAACUAGCUAAAGAGCCAAAGUGUUCAUCUUUUUUUUUUCUAUUCCCACACUAGCCAAAAAAUUUGUGAAGUUUUUUUAAUUACUUUAGUACGACAGGAAAGCAUUUUAAGAGCACUUGGGAACAGUUUAUGACUAAUCACGGUAGUGCUUAAUAUAAGCUAUAAGGAAAAUCACAAUUCUAUUGGUCACUUUGCAAUAGCUGCCAAACAUCACAUAACAAUUGCUGAAAUGUAAGAAAUUGAAAUUAUUGAUGAAGAAAAGUCUUGAAGAAAUACUUUGCAGUGGAAGACAUGAUUUAGUAUAUUCCACAAGUGGCAGCAUCAUUCUUAGAAAACCCAUUGUCAAAAUUCAGGGCAAAAGAAUAUUAAAUAUUCUCCAGGACAGCCUUAUGUCACAUGUCUAUUAAUAUGCCUAAUACACAGAAAAUCAUUUGAAAUGCUGGCUGCUUCCAGUUCAAUUGAAAUGCAAAAAAUCACCCAGACAGUUUCUGCUACAUUUGUGGAAAAUAUAUUACAGUUUCAUGAAGGAAAAACAUCACACACAAGCUAAAGGUGCCUUAUUACCACUAUUUUGGAUAUAAAAUUUAUGACCAAAAAAAAAACACUGGGCUCCACAUGUGUGUGUUGUACAACUUUCACAUCUGAGUUGACACAGUGGCUGAAUAUGAAGAGAUCAAAUAUGCCAUUUGCAAUUCCCAUGAUAUGACAUGAGCCUAAAGAUCAUCUAACUGACUGUUAUUUUUGCAUGACAAAUGUUUCUGGAUAUUCAGGCAAAAAUA